AACGCACCUUGCGCUCCUUGGUAUUCCGAGGAGCAUGCCUGUUUGAGUGUCAUUGAAUCUUCAACUUACAAGCUUUCUUAUCGAAGGUUUGUAGGCUUGGAUUUGGAGGCUUGUCGGACUUUAUUAUACGGGUCGGCUCCUCUUAAAUGCAUUAGCUUGGUUCCUUGCGGAUCGGCUUGUCGGUGUGAUAAUAAAGUCUACGCCGCAACCGUGAAGCGUGUUUGGACGAGCUUCUAAUGGUCUCGUUAGAGAGACGACUUUUAUGACCUCUGACCUCAAAUCAGGUAGGACUACCCGCUGAACUUAA
rnacentral:misc_RNA from 1 species